AGAAUACACAGGAGUGAAAAACAAAAAACAAAAAGAAGAAAACCAUUUGUUUAACAAAGAUUAGAGACAGCAAAGCGACGAGGACAUGGUCAUUUUGAAUCUCAUCCGAAUGGUGGACCAGUGGAUGAGAUGGCCUCUACGUCUACUACAAGUGCGCUGGAGAUGGGUGGGUAUAUGUGAGUCACUGCAUACAUGAAUUGGUGUUAAUUCGCUGUAAAACAAUAUGCAGUUUAUUUUCCAAAUCGCAUGUAUUGCUUGAAUAGUGUAACAUUUUUUCUUUUAACAUGCUUUAAAUUGUUUUACAGAUCAGAGGUAAGAGGUUUGUGACAAAAAAAAGAAGCGAUAAAAAAGUACGUUUGGAGUGUGUGUCUGUGUGUGAGCUGUUGAACGGCUGAUGAGAUGCCGUGGAACAGAAUCUUUAUUUUCAGCAAUCUGCAUUGACCCCUGGUACAAGAUUCCAUGUUUGUGAACAAUAACAAGACUUAUCUCUCGCUGCAUGGUUGUUCUCAUGACACCCUCGAAACAUUCGCCGUCAAGCGUCUGCUAAGAGAAAGAGUGAGAAGGGUCAGCGUCAAAAAUGGUAAGACUGAAGUCAUAGCCGCGCUGAUCAUCGCUGGUCCUCUCGCAGAGACCAGUCGGCCGCUCUCACCUCAGCUCCCGCCAAUCACGUAGAAAGAAAACUUUGUAUCUAAAACUAUGCAUCUAAACCAAAGUCUAGCUUGA